rnacentral:rRNA from 1 species
AUUAGUUGCCAUCAGGUUAAGCUGGGCACUUUAAUGGGACUGCCUACGCAAGUAGUGAGGAAGGUGGGGAUGACGUCAAGUCAGCAUGGCCCUUACGCCCAGGGCUACACACGUGCUACAAUGGGUGCAACAACGGGUUGCUAAGCCGCAAGGUGGAGCCAAUCCCUUAAAUGCAUCCUCAGUUCGGAUUGGAGUCUGCAACUCGACUCCAUGAAGUCGGAAUUGCUAGUAAUCGCGCAUCAGCACGGCGCGGUGAAUACGUUCCCGGGCCUUGUACACACCGCCCGUCAAGCCAUGGAAGCCGGGGGUACCCAAAGUCGGUGACCCAACCCUUCGGGGAGGGAACUGCCUAAGGUAAAACUGGUAACUGGGGCUAAGUCGUAACAAGGUAGCCGUACCGGAAGGUGCGGCUGGAUCACCUCCUUUCUAGAGAAAUCUAAGAAAAAGUCGUUUUCUAAAUAUAAGCGGCUUUAGUCACUUGCUUGUUUUUUUUAUAAGAGAAGAACAAGAUUAGAGCCUAAGGCUGUAGAAGGGCCUGUAGCUCAGAUGGUUAGAGCGCACGCCUGAUAAGCGUGAGGUCACUGGUUCAAUUCAGUCAGGCCACAA